GGAUGUUGGGGUUAAUGGGAUGCGAAUUGGAGACAAACGAAGACUUACAAUUCCACCGUCAAUGGGCUACGGGGCACGUGGUGCUGGUGGGAAGAUUCCUCCAAACUCAUGGCUUCUGUUUGAUGUGGAAUUGGUUGAUGUUCGCUAAUUAGCCUACCUAUGUUACACAAGGUUCACCGGUCAUGAGAUUUGGUUCGCGGUCAAUUUUGUUUUCGCUAAACUAAAUCAUGGCACUAUCUGGCUUCUUUUAGCAUGUUGGUUGUAUUAGCAUUUAUACCUGUGUAGAAGGAAUUGAUAAUACUUGAGACAGUAAUUUUAUAAUGUUAUACUUUCAAGAGAAUGAAUAUACGCCACUCGAUCACUUUUUAUUUCGA